UUGGGGUUGCGGACAUAUCAUAACGAAGAGGUAUCGUAAUUGAAGAGGUUUGGAAAGACCCACCACAGAAGGUAAUAGUCCUGUAUGUUAAACGAGAAGACUUUAGAUAUGAUCCAGAGUACCACGGGACACGUGAAACCCUGUGGGAAGCAGGAGGGACCACCCUCCAAGGCUAAAUACUACCUAGUGACCGAUAGCGUAUAGUACCGUGAGGGAAAGGGGAAAAGAACCCCGGGAGGGGAGUGAAAUAGAACCUGAAACCCUGCACUUACAAGCUGUGGAAGCACAUUUCUUGUGUGACCGCGUACUUUUUGUAGAACGGGCCAACGAGUUACGUU
rnacentral:rRNA from 1 species